CUGCUGUAUGAUUUUCUGGUUGCAUGAUGGCUUCCAUAAGUAAAGAUGGCGCCUACUGAAAAGUGUAGUGACACAACGCUCGUGAAUAGGCAAAAAUUAAAUAGUGCAUCGUGUAAAAAGUGUCGGAAACGGGUUAUAAGAGGAAUUCUGUUUGUUAAAUGCAACUUUUGGAUGCAUGAAAGGUGUGCGAAGAUAUGCUUAAAAUUUGUUAGCGACGCUAUUCACUGUUCACGCCUAGACUGUUUUGCUGGACGAAAAAGCGAAACUAGUUUCCACCGAGAGCUCACAGGAAGAAAUUAUCAAAAUCCUACGCAGCGACAUUCACAGUUUAAUAGCAGAACUAUCAGUGCAUAAGCAAGAAAACUGCAACCGGAAAAGCGGAAGAAAAUGUUUUUGUGAAAUAGCCGGGGCGAAUGACGAAAAUAACAUAAAAAACACGCGGAUUGAUACAUCUGUUCAAAACUACGCGCCUGCAACACCUACGAAAAAUCUAGCGCGCAGAAAUCACAAAAACUCCACAUAAAUAUAAGUGGACAAGUGCAAUAUACAGAAGAAAGAACUCAAAGCGCCUCAGUAACGUAAAACAGUACGUAAACAGUGAUUUCCUUGUUGUAGGCGAUUCUCUGCUCAAAAUUGUGUCUGUGUCAAAUUCCACAAUAAACGUUUACCCAGGUAUCAAGACCCAUCAAUUGAAGAAACAUUUUAACAUUUCAAACUCGCAGGAUGGUUCAGCAGAGGCAUCUUGGAAGAAUUAAAAGGGGAUCUUCCACGUAGGUAAAAAUUCCCUUAGAAGCAACACUGAAGAGGACAUUGGAAAUGAAACAAAAAAUUUAAUUCGAUCUGCCAGAAAUGUCUAGAAUUGUAGUGAGUGAUAGUUAUAUGGCGAGAAUAAACAGUAUAAACGAAAGCUGUAACGCUAUGGGAGCCGAGUAUGUAAAUCCAAAUAAGUUCUUAAGCAAUAAAUGUUCGGAACGACCUCCCUUUGCUUUGAAUUCAAGAAAGCACUGCCAACGAGAAAAGUUUGUUGACAAAAGCUGUCAUUAAAAUAUGCAUUACUGUGAUUUGCAGAAUAGCAUUACAUAUUGCCUAGUGUGAUGAAAGUUGAUUCACCUUUAUGCACAUGAACAUUAUCACCUGUGGACUGGCCUACUUUAUGUUUGUCAGUACAUACGCAUAAUUUCAGUGCAAGAUGCAGAAAGUUUUAGUCCAUAUUUUGAAGAACUACAUUCAGUACUCCUGGAAUACACCACUGUAUCUAGUAUUCAGUGCAAAGGCAGCUUGAUGCUUGUAUCACUGCUGAAAGUGGAUAUUUUUGUAAUUUCAAAUAAGAAAAAAUUUCAUGUAUGCUCUGUUCCUGUGUGUUUCACAUGUUUAAUGUUUAAUGAAGAGUUAUAGAAAAUUAGCUGUAACAUGAAAAUAAAGUGUUUCUAGACACAUGCUCCUACAA